AUGGUUGGCAUUAAGGGCGCAUGGUGGAUGCCUAGACAUCAAACGACGACGAAGGACGCAGCAUAGCGGCGAUACGCCACGGUGAGGUGCGGAGCAACCGUUGACCCGUGGAUUUCCGAAUGGGGCAACCCUGUUGAGUAAACCUCAACAACCUUCGCAAGAAGGAGUCACACCCGCUGAAGUAAAACAUUUCAGUAAGCGGUGGAAACGAAAAAAAGUCCGCGCAAGCGGAAAAAUUCCCCAAGUAGCGGCGAGCGAAACGGGAGAAGCCUAAACCACAUGUUCGCAAGAAUGCGUGGGGUUGUAAGGGAGGAACGCUAUCACUUAUAACCGAGAGCCGGGAGCGAUCCCGGCAUAUCGGUUAUGGGUGAAAAGGAGGAGUUACAAAUUCAUUUGCUAGCCGAAGCGUCCUGGAAAGGACCGCCAAAGUGGGUGAUGGCCCCGUAGGCGAAAGCAGAUGAACUUCUUAGUUUCUUUUCUUGAGUAGCUCGAGGUAAAACAGCUUCGAGUGAAUCCGGGAGUACUAUCUCCUAAGGCUAAAUACGUUUGAUGAUCGAUAGUGAACUAGUACCGUGAGGGAAAGGUUAAAAGCAGGCCGGUGAGGCCGUUGAAAUAGAUCCUGAAACCAUGCGUUUACAAGGAACUGACGUCUUAUGAGCCCGCCGCAAGGCAGGCCCCGGACUACAGUGUGCCUAUUGAAGAAUGAGCCAACGACUUUAGGUGUGCGGCAAGGAUAAGUCCUCUCGGGGACGCAUCCGUAGGGAAACCGAGUAUUAACGUGCGAUUUAGUCGUACACCUAAGACCCGAAGCCGGAUGAGCUUGCCUUGGCCAGGUUGAACUCCGUAGAAAUACGGAGGGAGGACCGAACCGGUAGGUUGUUCAACACCUUCGGAUGAGCUGAGGUAAGGAGUGAAAAGCUAAUCGAAUUCGGUAAUAGCUGGUUCUCUCCGAAACAGUUUUUGGACUGGCGGCGUAAAGUAGCGGGUGGGGGCUAAGCUCCAUGUUCGCGAGGGAAAAAGCCCAGACCAUCAAUUAAGGUCCCCAAGUGCGUGCUAAGUGUAAAAGGCAGUGUUGUGCCAUAGACAGAUAGGAGGUUGGCUUAGAGGUAGCCACCCUUUAAAGAGUGUGUAACAACUCACUAUUCGAUCGGCACGGCGCGCCGAAAAUGUAUCGGGGCUAAGCACGCCACCGAAAUUAUGGGUUCGUAUGUCCUUCGGGACGUAUGAGCGGUAGGAGAGCAUUCCCUUCUGCUGUGAAGCAGGACCCGCGAGGGCCUGUGGAGCGUAGGGAAGAGAGAAUGUUGGCAUGAGUAACCACAAUCCCAAUGAGAAAUUGAGAGCCCGAAAAUCCAAGGUUUCCGUGGCACUGGCAAUCAACCACGGGUUAGGCGGUCCUAAGGCGAUGGCGAAAGCCGCAGCUGAUGGAUAGCCGGUUAAUAUUCCGGCCCAGCCAUGCGAUCAUAGCGAAGUGCGAAGGAAAAAGACGGGAGUGCCUUAUUGGUUUGGCAUUUAUACUCCAAGGCGCAAGCCGGGAGCGUAUGAAUGUCCGGUUUUACCGGACAAACUUCCGAGAAGAGCCUUCCGAGAAAAGCUUCGUGAAAGCGAGCGCAUGGUUUCCGUACCGUAAACCGACACUGGUGGGUGAGGCGAGAAGCCUCAGGGUAACGAGUGAUUCAUCUUUAAGGAACUCGGCAAAAAAGCGGCCGUACCUUCGGUAUAAGGCCUGCCCAUCGCAAGAUGGGCCGCAGCGAAAGUCUCCCUGGCGACUGUUUACCAAAAACACAGCUCCCUGCAAACUCGCAAGAGGACGUAUAGGGGGUGACACUUGACCGAUGCGAGAAGGUUAAACUUGGCAGUGGUGUGCAGCAAUGUGCAUUGCCGACCGAGCGAAGCCCUCGUCAAUGUCAGCGGUAACUAUAACCGUUCUAAGGUAGCGCAUUUCCUUUCCGGGUAAGUUCCGGAGCGCACGAAAAGUGUAACGACUGGGGAACUGUCUCAAAGAUGAGCUCGGUGAAAUUGCGAUUCCCGUGAAGACGCGGGAUACCUGUAGCGGGACGAAAAGACCCCGGAAGCUUUACUGCAGCCUGGUAUUGAUUUCAGAGUUAUGAUGCGUAGCGUAGUGGCGAGCCUUUGAAGCGUCCCUUUCGGGGGACGUGGAGGCGACAAUGAAACAGCCAUCUUCAUCACUUUGACGUCUCACCGGGGAGGGACCUUAAAAUGGAAACCUCCCUGGGACAGUGCUUGGUGGGUAGUUUAAAUGGGGCGUUUUCCUUAACUUGACAAUGCUUCCGUGUUGUCAGAAGGGGGACCCGAUCCAGUCUUAAGAUUGGAGGGAAAAAUCUAAUGUAUAUGCUGGAACAUCCGCGGUAUCAGUUUGUACCUUUGUCGAAAAGGUGAAAAUCAAACUGUGGCGUCCGAUGAAAAUCGGGCCGGCGGACAAUCAGCAGGCAACCUCGACGUAAGAAUUGAGGAAGUCCUCAGAGACUAUCAGUUAGAGCGGCGCACUACCCGCGCGCCGUAUGAUAUAGUCCGAACUGCAUGGCGACAUGCAGGCCGCGCAAGCGGCACCUAAAUACCAUGAGAUCAAGAAUCAUUGAAGAGCUUAAGAAACAUCUGAAGCUUACUGCAAUGCAAAGAUCUCUUCUCGUAGGCCUGCUUUUAGGCGAUGGCCAUCUGGAACUACAGAGUGGUGGCAGAGAAUAUCGUCUGAAAGUUGAACAUGGAGUUAAGCAGAAGGAUUAUGUGGAUUGGUUGUACGAACAAUUCAAAGAUUUUGUUCGUACGCCGCCGCGUAUCAAGACCAGGAUUGUAAAAGGAAUAACGUGUAAGAGCUACGGCUUUACCACUUAUUCCUACGGAUCAUUUCGUUUUUACGCCCAGCAAUUCUACGUUGGGCGAAAGAAAGUGAUCCCGAAACUGAUCUCCAAAAUGCUUGACCCUAGAGCGUUGGCAAUAUGGUUCAUGGAUGAUGGAUCUUUCAAGUCCGUCAGCCACAAGACCUAUAUAAUCCAUACGCAUGGUUACGAGAAGAAAGAUUUGGAGCGUGUAAAAGAUGUGCUCCAAAAGAAAUUCGGUAUUAUCGUAGGACUGCAUAAGCAAUAUGAUCGCUGGCGAAUCUACAUAAUGAGUGAUUCGGCAACGGCGUUCAGAAAUCUUGUCAGUGCCCAUGUAAUACCGUCAAUGCGGUAUAAGUUAGGGAACAUCAAGCCUAAAGAGUAACGGAGGAGUUUAUUAAGGUUGGCUAGGCCCGGAUGGAAACCGGGCGCGUCGUGUAAAGGCAUAUGCCAGCUUGACUGCAAGACCUACAAGUCGCGCAGGCGCGAAAGCGGAACUUAGUGACCCGACGAUUCUUUAUAGAAAGGUCGGAGACAACGGAUAAAAGCUACUCCGGGGAUAACAGGCUAGUCUGGUCCGAGCGUCCACAGCGACGACCAGGCUCGGCACCUCGAUGUCGGCUCGCCCUAGCGCGGGGGUGAAGAAGCUCCCAAGCGUUUGGCUGUUCGCCAAUUAAAAGGGCACGUGAGCUGGGUUCAGACCGUCGUGAGACAGGUUGGUCUCUAUCUGUUACAGGCGUUUAAUCACUUGAGGGGAGUUGACCCUAGUACGAGAGGACCGGGUUGAACAUACCUCUGGUCUACCGGCUUUGGCACCUGCUGAAACGCCGGGUAGCUAUGUACGGAAGGGAUAAGUGCUGAAAGCAUCUAAGCACGAAGCCCACCCCAAGAUUAGGUGAUAUGGUCUCGUCGCAGACUACGACGUUGAUAGGCUCUAGGUGUAAGGAUCGCAAGGUCUUCAGCCAAGGAGUACUAAUGACCCGCCAACCAUCC
rfam:Candidatus Liptonbacteria bacterium RIFCSPHIGHO2_01_FTLL_57_28 rifcsphigho2_01_scaffold_11526, whole genome shotgun sequence.